GUACCGCAUGAACGUUAUUCGGGAAUCACUGGGGCUUAAAGGGGUGCGUAGGCGGCUUGGAAGGUGGGGGGGGGUGUGAAAUCCCUCGGGCUUAACCGAGGGAACUGCGCUCCAAACCGCCAGGCUUGAGGGAGGCAGGGGUGAGCGGAACUGAUGGUGGAGCGGUGAAAUGCGUUGAUAUCAUCAGGAACACCAGUGGCGAAGGCGGCUCACUGGGCCUCUUCUGACGCUGAGGCACGAAAGCUAGGGUAGCGAACGGGAUUAGAUACCCCGGUAGUCCUAGCUGUAAACGAUGAGCACUGGAUCGAGGGGGCCUCCACACCCUCUCGGUCGUAGCGAAAGUGUUAAGUGCUCCGCCUGGGGAGUAUGGUCGCAAAGGCUG
rnacentral:rRNA from 1 species